CCCUCAUCCUCAAAAACUUCAGACAACCACACAAGACAGAGUGUGGAGUCUCACUGUUCUGGUGUAAAGGAGAGCCAAAUAUAUUUUUACAUUUUCUUUGUCGACCUCCGUGCAGGUGUUUCGUGACACCAGCAGCUGUGCCAGCUGUUUCUUUGAUUUUUGAAACCAAUCAGGAAAAGGGAAUUUUAAAAAAGCAACGUAGAACUAGUAUCACAUGUUCUGGUUUAUCAGCUAAGAUUUACACUUUCUCUAUUGACUUUAUCGCUCGUGUCCCAACAGUAUGCACUAUGCUGUAGCAUUCCUGAAAAUCUGCAAUCAUCUUUAUCCAGCUGCAUAACUUUUAAUAAAGUUAAUCCCACGAGGCUAGAAUUUAUUGUUAGGGCACAUUGUCGAGAGGGUGUUGUCAUUGCAUGCCCUCAGAUUACAGCACAGUGAAUUCUGUACAGCUGUAUUUCUGAAUACAGCUCCUAGAAUCUAGCAGCCCGGGACUAGCUGCAGUUCCCAGUUCGGCUCACCUGCCCCAGGUCUGGCUGUAGCGCCCAGGUCACGUAAACUAAUUGAAAAAAAACAAAAACGUCUGCGGGGCGGAUGAUUUUGGGUUAUGGACCGGAUCCGGCCCGUAGGCCGUAGGUUGCCGACCCCUGUAUUAGAUGUCAGGCCUCAUUGUGUACCCCCCCCCAUGUUUUAAAAGCGAUUCCUGCCCAUGAUUCAGUGCACUACAGCACAGCACUAAUAGGCACCUAGCACAGCAAAGCACAAUGCAAUAAGUACACAAAGGUGAAUGGGUUUCGUAUUCCUCAUCAACACUGUGCCUUCAGAAGGAUUGCCUUGGAAUAGCAACACCUCUUUGCUUGCCAAUCUCCCCACUCAUUCACACCUUCCAGAAACGAAGGUGAAACUACUAUCUCAGAAUCUGGAGCCACUCCAAUCUCCAGCAAGCAGGCCAAGAACUUGGUACAAACAUUUAUCUUUGUAAGAGAAAACAAAACUUGCUGAAUAUGACAGGGGCAGCAAGCUGGCACAGCUGAGAGAGCUGAUGUCCCUCAGCGCCAGUGACCCGAUUCAAUCCUGACCUCCUGUGUGAAGUUUGCAUGUUCUCCCUGUGGUUGUACGAGUUUCCUCCAGGUGCUCCGGUUUCCUCCCACAUUCUAAAGACGUUCGGGUUCAUAAGCUAAUUGGCCUCUAUAGGUAGAGAGUGGAUGCGAAAGUGGGAAAACAGAGCUAGUGUGAACGAGUGAUCAAUGGUCAGCACGGACUUGGUGGGCUGAAGGGCCUGAUCCCAUGCUGCAUCAUUCAAUUAAUAAAAACCAUAUCAUCAAAAAGAUGAAUAGAAGUCUGAGCUCCUUUAGAGACCACAUUCUCACCCAUCAGUGUUCAAUGUUCCUCCUGAACAGUUAAAGAUUUCUAACAUUCUAGUAAGAGAUUGCUAGUAUUUCACAGCAGAGAAGGAAACUGUGAGUGAACUACCCCACUUAGCCUUAUAUCCCAAAUCACUCCAUUUUUUCUUCAAAUAUUUAUCCUUUUCCACUCCAAAAGCUAUUUUGAACCCUGCUUCCACCGUCAUUUCAGAAGAAGAAUUCUAAGCAUGUCCUGUCUGACUAAUACUACAGCAAACAAAAAUCCAAAAGACGCUCUUGGGAAUUAUCAAAUCUAUAUUCUCUACUUCAGAUUUUCCACAGCAGCCUCAUACUGGAGUAGGUUUCUAGUAUGUACUAGAAUAAUGUAACCAGAGCAGACUGGACAUUCAAAAUGAAUAGGAUGUGAAUUUUAGGAUACAUUAAAUGAUAGGGUGAAGUUAUACAGGUCUUAACAGACCAUUAGCACAGGUGCACACUGCAGAAUCCAUAGUGUCCUUAUUUUUCCAAUAAAAUGUUUUGCGUAACAGGAUUUUAAGAAGUUUUUUUUUUUGCGACUGGUAUCAAUGGAAGUAGUUUGAAUAUUAAUUGCUGCACAAUUUCACUCUGAAAUCUCAGCUAUUGUACAAUAUAAAGGUCUGCCAUAACACAAAGUGCUGGAGGAACUCAGCGGGUCAGGCAGCAUCUGUGGAGGGAAUAAGAUAGGUGACAAUUCUGGUCAGACCCUUCUUCAGAAUGGUAGAACUCGGGGAUGUGAAAAGCUGGAACAGAGAGACGGGGGCAGUUCAAAGCCUGGUAAGUGAUAUGUAGAAAAAAAAAGACAAAGUGCUGGAGUAACUCAGCAUGAUGGAGAUGUAUUUGACCUACUGAGCUACUCCAGCAUUUUUUCUUUUUCUGUCUAAGUGAAAGGUGGAUACAGGUGAGUGGGGUGCAAACGCUUGCUGUACUUGAGAGUUGGGUCUCAAACGGUUUUCUGGAAGUCUCAGGAAGCUAAAGCAAUUGCAAGUAACAGUAAUUCAUGGCAAUCUCCAGUAUUUUAUCAAUCGAGACAGGGUACCCGGCCACUCUUUCAGCUGGGAAAUGAUGCAUGACAGGAGUGAAUAAAAACAUACAAUGCACCACCUGUUUCUUUUGUAAUAUACUGCUGUAUAAAUAUGCAUACCUCUCAGUGGCAAGUCAAGCCUGAGCCAGUCAUAAAUAAAUCAAGGGAUGAACAGACAUACCGAGAGUGCAAGCUACAUCCUGCAAAGAAAUAUCAUCCACCACACAGCAACCAGGUAGAAAGUAACAAAGGGAUUCAUCUCAAUCACACACUUCUGCUUUCGAGAAAACAAAAUUCCAAAAGCCGUAACUCUACAGUACUUUGAAAUGAUGGCUUUUGUACGGCUGCCAGCUCACAUCAAAGAGCCAUUUACAGGAGUUCUGUUUGUGCUUUCACAGGGCAAAAUAGUGAAUGAACUUCAUUAUUUAAAUGCAGUUAAAUAGUAAUGUAGUUUAGUGCAAGAUUUUACUGUUAACAAGCUCUUAACUACACAUUAUCCUGUCUGAAGUGCUGAUUCCACAGCAAAAAAUUGGCAAACACAAGAAUUAUUCUGGAAGGAAGUUACUAGGAGAUUAUCGUCCUUAACCCAAAAUCAGAAAUAUUCUCAAUAAUGGCUUCAUUUGUAGCAAGACAAAAACUAAUGAUUUUGUAGCUAUGCCGAAGUUUGGUCAAAUAAUUAAUAGCUGCUUGAUUCUAUGGAAUUUAUUCAAAAAGGUAUAACUAAACCUCAGCAUAAAUUAACACGGGACCCUUAGAAACAUCCAGCGAGACAUCCAGCCUCCCAGUCCCUAGCCAAUGACACACCUGGACAAGAUCCAGCGGGGGG